UAGUGAUAACAGCUGUGACUGAAAAACGAUCCGUUGGAACGUUGUUCACGAGUUUACGGAUCGGUAAUUCUGCACAUAGUGAAACCGAAAAGAGACCUUUGCUGCGUCCGCUCAUCGAAGUGAUAAAAUUUAUGACGUACGAGUUAUGGUUACUACGGCUACAGAAACAAUAAUUGAAACAAUAAGAAAAUGAUUCGGCAGUGGCGAGCACGAGCGAAGCAUAUAUCGGGAUGAGCGGGCAGCGCGUAGGGCAGAGCGUGGGGCG